CUACGGGGGGCUCCAGUGAGGAAUAUUGCACAAUGGGGGGAACCCUGAUGCAGCAAUGCCGCGUGGAGGAUGACGCAUUUCGGUGUGUAAACUCCUUUUAUAUGUCAAGAAAAUGACGGUAGCAUAUGAAUAAGCACCGGCUAACUCCGUGCCAGCAGCCGCGGUAAUACGGAGGGUGCAAGCGUUACUCGGAAUCACUGGGCGUAAAGGACGCGUAGGCGGGUUGGAAAGUCAGGUGUGAAAUCCUACAGCUUAACUGUAGAACUGCACUUGAAACUUCUAAUCUAGAGUAUGGGAGGGGGAGAUGGAACUAGUGGUGUAGGGGUAAAAUCCGUAGAUAUCACUAGGAAUACCUAAAGCGAAGGCGAUCUCCUGGAACAUUACUGACGCUAAGGCGUGAAAGCGUGGGGAGCGAACAGGAUUAGAUACCCUAGUAGUC
rnacentral:rRNA from 1 species